UACAGAGGGGGCAAGCGUUAUUCGGAAUUAUUGGGCGUAAAGGCGCGUAGGCGGCCAUUCAAGUGACGGGUGAAAGCCCUCGGCUUAACCGAGGAACUGCCUGUCAGACUGGAUGGCUUGAGACCGGGAGAGGUGAGUGGAAUUCCCAGUGUAGCGGUGAAAUGCGUAGAUAUUGGGAGGAACACCAGUGGCGAAGGCGGCUCACUGGACCGGAACUGACGCUGAGGCGCGAAAGCGUGGGGAGCAAC
rnacentral:rRNA from 1 species